AAAUACUGCCAUACCCCUUCCAGCUAGAUGAUUCGCUAGCUCAGUGUCCAGUGGCUAACACUAAACGAUAACCACCGAGGUUGGUUAGUUCUAGGUACAUUGCUGCUUCUCUGGGUGAUAUUGAAAUACUUUUUCGUAGAAAACCUUUAAUAGAUUAAAAAAUGAGCUCAGUGGC